rnacentral:rRNA from 1 species
GGGUCAGUAGGUUGGUCGUGCCACCGGUACGUACUGGUCUCACUGAUUCCUCCUUCCUGAAGAACCGUAAUGCCAUUAAUUUGGUGUUGCGGGGAAACAGGACUGUUACUUUGAAAAAAUUAGAGUGUUUAAAGCAAGCUAACGCUUGAAUACAUUAGCAUGGAAUAAUGGAAUAGGACGAUCGAUCCUAUUUUGUUGGUUCCUAGGAUUGACGUA